GUGUUGUAUGAAAGGUUAACACUCCCCUUGACAAGGAUGGAAGAGGCCCUCUGCCUGACAAUACACACACUGUUUAAGGCAUAGCCUCUACUUUGAGGCAUCCAACUAUAGUGUUUU
rnacentral:ncRNA from 1 species